rnacentral:rRNA from 1 species
AGAGUUUGAUCAUGGCUCAGGACGAACGCUGGCGGCGCGCUAAUGCAUGCAAGUCGAGCGACGCAUUCCCCUCCGGCAACGCGGGGUCUGACGGAGCGGCGAACGGGUGCGUAACACGUGACCAAUCUGCCCCGAAGAUCGGGAUAGCCCGGGGAAACCCGAGUUAAUACCGGAUGGCCUCAUCGGACCUCAUGGCCCGGUGAGUAAAGGCUCCGGCGCUUCGGGAUGAGGUCGCGUCCCAUCAGCUUGUUGGUGAGGUAACGGCUCACCAAGGCGACGACGGGUAGCUGGUCUGAGAGGACGAUCAGCCACACUGGAACUGAGACACGGUCCAGACUCCUAUGGGAGGCAGCAGCAGGGAAUCUUGCGCAAUGGGCGAAAGCCUGACGCAGCGACGCCGCGUGGGGGAUGAAGGCCUUCGGGUUGUAAACCCCUUUCACGAGGGAAGAAGAUGACGGUACCUCGAGAAGAAGCCCCGGCCAACUACGUGCCAGCAGCCGCGGUAAUACGUAGGGGGCGAGCGUUGUCCGGAUUUAUUGGGCGUAAAGAGCUCGUAGGCGGUUGCGUAAGUCGGAUGUUAAAACUCAGGGCUCAACCCUGAGACGCCAUCUGAUACUGCGCUGACUAGAGUCCGGUAGAGGAGCAUGGAAUUCCUGGUGUAGCGGUGAAAUGCGCAGAUAUCAGGAGGAACACCAGUGGCGAAGGCGGUGCUCUGGGCCGGUACUGACGCUGAGGAGCGAAAGCGUGGGUAGCAAACAGGAUUAGAUAACCUGGUAGUCCACGCCGUAAA